rnacentral:tRNA from 1 species
UGCCCCAUGGCUGAGUUGGUUACAGCGUCCGACUGUUACGCUUAGCAAUCGGAAGGUCGUGAGUUCGAGCCUCACUGGGGCAG